UUAACUGAAACCAAAAAGAGGUAUAUUACUGUUAAUAAUAAAAUUGAAUUAAAUAUUCCAGUUAAG
rnacentral:tRNA from 1 species